rnacentral:rRNA from 1 species
GACGUAGGAUGCAAGCGUUGUCCGGAUUUAUUGGGCGUAAAGAGUUCGUAGGUGGUUUGCUAAGUCUGAUGUUAAAUACUGGAGCUCAACUUCGGGACUGCAUUGGAUACUGGCAGACUUGAGUGUGGUAGAGGCAAUCGGAAUUCCAGGUGUAGCGGUGAAAUGCGUAGAUAUCUGGAGGAACACCUGUGGCGAAGGCGGGCGACUGGUCAGAGACUGACGCUGAGAAACGAAAGCGUGGGGAGCAAACAGG